GGGGAAUAUUGCCCAAUGGGCGAAAACCUGAGGCAACAACGCCGCGGGAGGGAUGACGGCCUUCGGGUUGUAAACCUUUUUUAGUAGGGAAGAAGCGAAAGUGACGGUACCUGCAGAAAAAGCACCGGCUAACUACGUGCCAGCAGCCGCGGUAAUACGUAGGGUGCAAGCGUUGUCCGGAAUUAUUGGGCGUAAAGAGCUCGUAGGCGGUUUGUCGCGUCUGCUGUGAAAUCCCGAGGCUCAACCUCGGGCUUGCAGUGGGUACGGGCAGACUAGAGUGCGGUAGGGGAGAUUGGAAUUCCUGGUGUAGCGGUGGAAUGCGCAGAUAUCAGGAGGAACACCGAUGGCGAAGGCAGAUCUCUGGGCCGUAACUGACGCUGAGGAGCGAAAGCAUGGGGAGCGAACAGGAUUAGAUACCCUGGUAGUCCAUGCCGUAAACGUUGGGCGCUAGAUGUAGGGACCUUUCCACGGUUUCUGUGUCGUAGCUAACGCAUUAAGCGCCCCGCCUGGGGAGUACGGCCGCAAGGCUAAAACUCAAAGGAAUUGACGGGGGCCCGCACAAGCGGCGGAGCAUGCGGAUUAAUUCGAUGCAACGCGAAGAACCUUACCAAGGCUUGACAUACACCGGAAACGGCCAGAGAUGGUCGCCCCCUUGUGGUCGGUGUACAGGUGGUGCAUGGUUGUCGUCAGCUCGUGUCGUGAGAUGUUGGGUUAAGUCCCGCAACGAGCGCAACCCUCGUUCUAUGUUGCCAGCGGGUUAUGCCGGGGACUCAUAGGAGACUGCCGGGGUCAACUCGGAGGAAGGUGGGGAUGACGUCAAAUCAUCAUGCCCCUUAUGUCUUGGGCUUCACGCAUGCUACAAUGGCCGGUACAAAGGGCUGCGAUACCGUAAGGUGGAGCGAAUCCCAAAAAGCCGGUCUCAGUUCGGAUUGAGGUCUGCAACUCGACCUCAUGAAGUCGGAGUCGCUAGUAAUCGCAGAUCAGCAACGCUGCGGUGAAUACGUUCCCGGGCCUUGUACACACCGCCCGUCAAGUCAUGAAAGUCGGUAACACCCGAAGCCGGUGGCCUAACCCUUGUGGAAGGAGCCGUCG
rnacentral:rRNA from 1 species